rnacentral:rRNA from 1 species
CCUACGGGUGGCUGCAGUGGGGAAUAUUGCACAAUGGGCGCAAGCCUGAUGCAGCCAUGCCGCGUGUGUGGAGAAGGCCUUCGGGUUGUAAAGCACUUUCAGCGGGGAGGAAGGCGGUGAGGUUAAUAACCUCAUCGAUUGACGUUACCCGCAGAAGAAGCACCGGCUAACUCCGUGCCAGCAGCCGCGGUAAUACGGAGGGUGCAAGCGUUAAUCGGAAUUACUGGGCGUAAAGCGCACGCAGGCGGUCUGUCAAGUCGGAUGUGAAAUCCCCGGGCUCAACCUGGGAACUGCAUUCGAAACUGGCAGGCUAGAGUCUUGUAGAGGGGGGUAGAAUUCCAGGUGUAGCGGUGAAAUGCGUAGAGAUCUGGAGGAAUACCGGUGGCGAAGGCGGCCCCCUGGACAAAGACUGACGCUCAGGUGCGAAAGCGUGGGGAGCAAACAGGAUUAGAUACCCGGGUAGUC